GAACCGCUAUGACGGGCAGGUCGCCGUGUUCGGGACGGGGCUGCAGGAGCGGCUGGGACAGCAGAAAUACUUUGUGGUGGGCGCGGGCGCCAUCGGCUGCGAGCUGCUCAAGACGUUCGCCAUGAUGGGCCUGGGCUGCGGCCCCGAUGGCGGCGUCACCGUCACCGACAUGGACACCAUCGAGAAAUCCAACCUCAACCGGCAGUUCCUGUUCCGGCCCUGGGACGUCACGAAGCUGAAGUCGGAGCGGGCGGCGGCGGCGGCGCG
rnacentral:lncRNA from 1 species